UCCGCAGGCGGGCAAUUAAGUCAGAGGUGAAAUGCAACGGCUCAACCGUAGCACUGCCUUUGAUACUGGUUGUCUUGAAUGACGGUGAAGUGGCCGGAAUAUGUAGUGUAGCGGUGAAAUGCAUAGAUAUUACAUAGAACACCUAUUGCGAAGGCAGGUCACUAACCGUUCAUUGACGCUGAUGGACGAAAGCGUGGGGAGCGAACAGGAUUAGAUACCCUGGUAGUCC
rnacentral:rRNA from 1 species